rnacentral:rRNA from 1 species
AGGACGAACGCUGGCGGCGUGCUUAACACAUGCAAGUCGAGCGGAAAGGCCCUUCGGGGUACUCGAGCUGCGAACGGGUGAGUAACACGUGAGUAAUCUGCCCCUAGCUCUGGGAUAGCUCCGGGAAACCGGGAUUAAUACUGGAUACGACCACCUUAGACAUCUUUUGUGGUGGAAAGAAUUUCGGCUAGGGAUGAGCUCGCGGCCUAUCAGCUUGUUGGUGGGUAACGCUACCAAGACGAUGAUCGGUA